rnacentral:rRNA from 1 species
GUGUCAGCAGCCGCGGUAAGACAGAGGGUGCAAACGUUGUUCGGAAUUACUGGGCGUAAAGCGCGUGUAGGCCGCUUUGCAAGUCGGAUGUGAAAGCCCUGGGCUCAACCUGGGAAGCGCAUUCGAAACUGCGAAGCUUGAGUCCUGGAGAGGAUAGCGGAAUUCUCGGUGUAGAGGUGAAAUUCGUAGAUAUCGAGAGGAACACCGGUGGCGAAGGCGGCUAUCUGGACAGUGACUGACGCUGAGACGCGAAAGCGUGGGGAGCAAACAGGAUUAGAUACCCUGGUAGUCCACGCCGUAAACGAUGGGUGCUAGGUGUCGCGGGCUUUGACCCCUGCGGCGCCGCAGCUAACGCAUUAAGCACCCCGCCUGGGGAGUACGGCCGCAAGGCUAAA